ensembl:lncRNA
AGAGACAGAUAGAAUAGUCAUAUGGAAAGAGACAGAUAGAGUAGAGACAAAGACAGAUAGAAUUCAGCCAGAUCGAAUAGAGCCAGAUAGAGUAGAGCCAGAUGGAGUAGAGCCAGAUGGAGUAGAGCCAGAUGGAGUAGAGCCAGAUGGAGUAGAGCCAGAUGGAGUUGAGCCAGAUGGAGUUGAGCCAGAUGGAGUUGAGCCAUAUGGAGUAGAGCCAGAUGGAGUAGAGCCAGAUGGAGUAGAGACAGAUAUAGUAGAGACAGAGAGAUAUUGAAUAUAGCCAGAUGGAUUAGAGCCAUAUAGAAUGGAGCCA